CGGAGGGUGCAAGCGUUGUCCGGAAUCACUGGGCGUAAAGGGCGCGUAGGUGGCUUGGCGCGCGUGCGGUGAAAGCCCGGGGCUUAACCCCGGGUCUGCCGUGCGGACGGCCAGGCUAGGGCACUGUAGAGGCGGGUAGAAUUCCGGGUGUAGCGGUGGAAUGCGUAGAGAUCCGGAAGAAUACCGGUGGCGAAGGCGGCCUGCUGGGCAGUUGCCGACACUGAGGCGCGACAGCGUGGGGAGCAAACAGGAUUAGAUACCCUGGUAGUCCACGCCGUAAACGAUGGGCACUAGGUGCUUGGGGGAGCGACCCUCUGAGUGCCGUCGCUAACGCAGUAAGUGCCCCGCCUGGGGAGUACGACCGCAAGGUUG
rnacentral:rRNA from 1 species